rnacentral:tRNA from 1 species
UGCCCGGUAGUUUAAAGGUAGAACACCGCGCUCUGGACGCGGGGAUCGGGGUUCGAGUCCCUGCUGGGCAG